rnacentral:rRNA from 1 species
AGAGUUUGAUCCUGGCUCAGGAUGAACGCUAGCGAUAGGCCUAACACAUGCAAGUCGAGGGGCAGCACAUGAAGUAGCAAUACGGAUGGUGGCGACCGGCGCACGGGUGAGUAACGCGUAUGCAAUCUACCUACAACAAGGGAAUAACCCGUUGAAAGACGGCCUAAUACCCUAUAAAACAGGGCCCCCGCAUGGGGAUAUUUGUUAAAGAUUUAUCGGUUGUAGAUGAGCAUGCGUUCCAUUAGCUUGUUGGUGAGGUAACGGCCCACCAAGGCAACGAUGGAUAGGGGAACUGAGAGGUUUAUCCCCCACACUGGUACUGAGACACGGACCAGACUCCUACGGGAGGCAGCAGUGAGGAAUAUUGGUCAAUGGACGCAAGUCUGAACCAGCCACGUCGCGUGAAGGAAGACGGCCCUACGGGUUGUAAACUUCUUUUGUAAGGGAAUAAAGUGCAGUACGCGUACUGUUUUGCAUGUACCUUACGAAUAAGGAUCGGCUAACUCCGUGCCAGCAGCCGCGGUAAUACGGAGGAUCCAAGCGUUAUCCGGAUUUAUUGGGUUUAAAGGGUGCGCAGGCGGAAGAUUAAGUCGGCGGUGAAAUUUUGCAGCUCAACUGUAAAAGUGCCUUCGAAACUGGUUUUCUUGAGUGUGGAUGAAGUAGGCGGAAUUUGUGGUGUAGCGGUGAAAUGCAUAGAUAUCACGAGGAACUCCGAUUGCGAAGGCAGCUUACUAAACCAUAACUGACGCUCAGGCACGAAGGCGUGGGGAUCAAACAGGAUUAGAUACCCUGGUAGUCCACGCAGUAAACGAUGAUUACUAGCUGUUUGCGAUAUACAGUAAGCGGCUGAGCGAAAGCGUUAAGUAAUCCACCUGGGGAGUACGUUCGCAAGAAUGAAACUCAAAGGAAUUGACGG